CUGCGGAGGGAUCAUUACUGAGUGAGGGUUUAACCGCCCGACCUCCAACCCUUUGUGAAUCGUACUCGUUGCUUCGGGGGCGACCCUGCCGUCCGCGGCUGAGCGCCCCCGGGGUCAAUCAAACACUGCAUUCUCUGCGUCGGAGUAUUAGUAAAUCUAAUCAAAACUUUCAACAACGGAUCUCUUGGUUCUGGCAUCGAUGAAGAACGCAGCGAAAUGCGAUAAGUAAUGUGAAUUGCAGAAUUCAGUGAAUCAUCGAAUCUUUGAACGCACAUUGCGCCCCGUGGUAUUCCGCGGGGCAUGCCUGUUCGAGCGUCAUUUCACCACUCGAGUCUGACUCGGUAUUGGGCGCCGCGGUCUGUCCGCGCGCCUCAAAGUCGCCGGCUAGGUGGGUCUGUCCCCGAGCGUUGUGGCCUCACAGUCUCGCUUGGGAGCGCGGAUCCAUCAAGGCCGUUAAACACCCCAUCAAAGGUUGACCUCGGAUCAGGUAGGGAUACCCGCUGAACUUAA
rnacentral:rRNA from 1 species